UCCAAGUCCUCCUUGAAAUGCUAUCUGAAGGGUUUAAUGAAGAAAUGAAGGGAGCCCCUUUGGCAUCACUAAAGUCUAUUGGUGACUUUGCCAGUGAUGAAAUUUGGACUCAGAAGUACAGAUCUCUGUACCUAAAGGAACUGGAAGAAAAUCUUACUGCAUUGUUUGAACCCAGCCCUGCAUGGCCAGGAAACUGGACCACCUCUGCCUACUGUUUAGAGACCCUUAACUAACGAACAAAUAUAAUAAACCUCUUAUCUAACCAACCCUGUUUAUUCAAAGUUUUACUACACGGCAAAGAAUUGGAAAUUGGGGGAUGUCCAUCCAUUGGAGAAUGGCUGAACAACUUGUGGUAUA